ACACAACCUUGUAAGAGAAUGUCUGUCAAUGCUUUCAGCAGAAUUUAGAAACACAACACUUCCUAAACAGAUAUUUUGAGGCUGUGAGGUUGAACGUUUGAGAGUAUAUCAGUGUGUUUGUUUGUGGUCUGUUUCUAGGUGGAAACUGAAUUAGUGAGGAUGACUCCUGCUCCUGUCAUCUCUAAGCUCCUCACACAUCUUUACCUGCACAUGAGGAAAAUCACUCCUGUAGAAUGCAGUGGUUCAUCAGAACCUCUGGGGAUGUCCUGUGGAUUCUGUGGAUCCUGUGGGUUGCAGGGUGGGUCCUACCUGGACCAGGCUGAUCCUGGACCAUCCCACAGAUGCUCAAUCAGAUCUGGAUGUGGGGAGUGUGGAACCCAGAUGUUCAGAGGGAGAUGAUGCCACAUCUGGUCCAGCUAAUGGAAGGUCUUGAAGUUCUCUGACUGGCCUCGACUGAAGAUGGUCCGUCUCACUGGAUUUAAGGUUCAGAUGCUCAGUAACAAACUCCACCAAUGUGCCAACAGGGAAGCUUUAGGUUUCUUAAAUGUUGCUAUGAAGUAGGGCUGGGCGAUAAUGGCCUCAAAAAAAAAUCUCAGAUUUUUUCACAAAAAAUCCUGAUUCACGAUUUAUCCGAUUUUUUUUUUUUUUUUUUUUUAAACCCCCUACCUAAUCUCUGCACGCUGAAGUCCAGUCUACUUUAUGCAAAUGAGCUGCAGCCCUCUCCAGGUAAACACACAGGAUCGCAGCAGGAAACGCACCGCAGCCGGACCAGCAUGCCACAUGCGGGGCAUUUCCAGCUGCGAUCCGCUGUGUUUACCUGGAGAGGGCUGCAGCUCAUUUGCAUAAAGUCGACUGACUUCUACUUUAUGCAAAUUGGAUGCGGCGUGCGGAGAUUCCACGCAUCGUGAAACUGUCCUCAAACUUCUAAACUAGGCGUCGGUGACCUAAAACGAGGACAGAUUCAUCUGCUGCAGAUUAUUUCUCGCUUCAAAUGCUUUCAGAAAUACUUUUCGCUGACGUGUUUCUUGAAAUAAAAGGUAAAGUUUGCGGCCGAGCCGCUGUGUUUAUCCGACUUGUCUGCAAGACUGUCCAGCUGAAAGCUCGGUCACAUGACCACGUAGCUGCCUGCUGUUGCUCAGCGCUGUCAUGUGACCAUGUUGUGGUCCGCUAGUGACCGCCGUCCGUGUGAUUUUCAGAUGUGGUGCAUUGCCAUGCGGGAAAAUAGCAUCUAGUGGACAUGCGCCUUUAGAUCUGCACCGCUCGCCGCCAUGUUGUUUGUGUAUCAAGCGCGGGGGGGAGGGGGGCGCACUCUGAACUACGGGAGCCCAGCGGGAAGGCGUUGGUGGCGGAUGUUGAUGAGAAAAUCGAUUUUCAUUAAAACAAAUCGACAUUAAGUACAAAGUCGAAUUAAUUGAUAAAAUCGAUUUAUCGCCCAGCCCUACUAUGAAGGUAUCGCUGUUUUUCUUUGUGAAUGCAAUGUGCUCCAACUGAAACUUGAAUUAGAACUUAGAAGUAAAUCCUUCCAUCUGAUAGGAUUUAGUUGCAUUAAUAACCUCAUAACAUUCUAAUUUUUAUUCCAGUCUUGGUUGGAAAUAGAAUCUCUGUAUUGAUUCAGGUAAAAACUGAACUUCACAGCAUGUUGGAGCAAAACAACCAGAUGAAAACUGUGAUGGUGUUGGAUUGUCAGGCCGUAAUGUUGCAGCUCAAAGCAGCUUUUCUAGCUCAGUUCAUUCUGACAUUCAGCUAUGAAUCAACACAGCAGAUGGUGAUCCAUGCUGUGGAAGUCUCACAUCUCCUGAUUUAGUGGAGCUGCUUUGCACUUUUUACACUGUUUAUUCACCAACACUUUAUUUAAUAAAAGUCCCAUCUAGUUUUUAUGAGGAAUGUGAUGUUUUAAUUUCUCUGAAUAACUGCAGUCUAAUGCAACAGCUGGAAUUGUAACAUCUGUCCUGAUAUUGAUCAUGAAGUAUUGAUCAGAAUACUUAUGGUUAGCAGUCAUCCCUGAAGAUUUACAUUAAAAUCUUUACUUGUGUUGUGAACUUUGGUAAGAAGCAGAAAUGUUAGCGUUGCCAUGGAUAUAAGAGUGUUAAAUUCUGUCCAUGUUUCCAUUUUGGGAAACGCAGUCCAGUUCCAGAAUGUGGAGGAAUUUAGUCUCACAAUCACAGACAACAAAUAUUAUCUGAAAGUGGGGUUAUUGUUGUUUAUCAGCACAAUACAAAAAGAUUAAUGUUAGAAAUAUUCCAGUUAAGACUCUAGAAUAUCAUGAUUUAUGUAAAUUUACCUCAAUAAUAUGAAUGUUCAGGUUAAGAUUGUACAGUGAUAUUUAUUAUGCAAGUUUAGCUGAUUAAAGUUUAUGACUCUGCACUAAAAUAUUAUUUAAAUUGACAUCAUUAUUAUAAUAUUUAGGGUCAGACCCUACAGUAUUGAGAUUAAGAAAUCAAAUAUUCUAUAAAAUGUAAAUACACUGAACUCAUUUGGAUAUAUUUAAGUGAGACUCUACAAUAUUAUUUGACACAAAUCUAUCUAAAUCAAAAUUUUAAUAAUUUUCACGCCAAACAUUUACUGGACUGAUUUAAACAUUAAAAUCACUCCUUUCUAAUCCUCAGCUGUACGUUCAAACCUGAAGCCUUAAAUAGAAACAAGUAUCUGUUUGAAGGAACUUCUGCAGAGUCCUGGUUCCAGAACAUGAUGAUAGAAUUAUAGACAAACUUUAACAAAAGCUG